rnacentral:rRNA from 1 species
GACGAACGCUGGCGGCGUGCCUAAUACAUGCAAGUAGAACGCUGAAGGAGGAGCUUGCUUCUCUGGAUGAGUUGCGAACGGGUGAGUAACGCGUAGGUAACCUGCCUGGUAGCGGGGGAUAACUAUUGGAAACGAUAGCUAAUACCGCAUAAUAGUAGAUGUUGCAUGACAUUUGCUUAAAAGGUGCAAUUGCAUCACUACCAGAUGGACCUGCGUUGUAUUAGCUAGUUGGUGAGGUAACGGCUCACCAAGGCGACGAUACAUAGCCGACCUGAGAGGGUGAUCGGCCACACUGGGACUGAGACACGGCCCAGACUCCUACGGGAGGCAGCAGUGGGGAAUCUUCGGCAAUGGACGGAAGUCUGACCGAGCAACGCCGCGUGAGUGAAGAAGGUUUUCGGAUCGUAAAGCUCUGUUGUAAGAGAAGAACGAGUG